AAGUCGUAACAAGGUUUCCGUAGGUGAACCUGCGGAAGGAUCAUUAACGAAGCAUACGAGGGGUUGUAGCUGCCUUGAAAGAGGAUGUGCACACCUUUCAACUCUUCAUUAACCACCUGUGAACUCUUCUUAGACUACGAUAACCUUCACUGAAAAUGUGGAUAGAGGGCUUGCAUUUCAUUGUGCUUGCUUUCGAUUUCGUAGUCCGAGCAUUAUACACACAUUAAUAACUUUGAAUGAAUAACUUACUCGCUGUAAUGGCUUGUAAUAAUUGAAAUACAACUUUUAGCAACGGAUCUCUUGGCUCUC
rnacentral:misc_RNA from 1 species